GGAUUCCUUCCAUAGAAGGAUGCUCUCACCAUUGUUCUGGUCUAACUGCCACAAGGAUGCCAGAGCUAAUCUGUCAGACUCCCAGAGGACUGAAAACCCUUAAAGUGCUUUCUCAACUUCUUUGCAAGACAAUAGCAUUCUGAAGGCCUCAUGCAGAGCUGAUACUCCACAGCUAGGAAUGAUCAUCAACAAAUUGGAAAAUCAAAACAGACUCCCUUAAGAAGAAUGCACUGAAAAAAGCAAAAUAAUAAUUAAAGUAAUAAAAAUGUGCAAAAUCCUCA
rnacentral:lncRNA from 1 species